GGGCAGGGGGGGAGAGGAGGCAAUUUCUCUCUGCUAUUGCUUUGAACUGUUCUGUUGGUAUUGCUGGUUUUGCUGCUGUAUUUCUUGUCAGUGAACUGGAAGAGCAGACGUC